GUCAUAAUCAUGAGAUUCAAAGAUGGCGAAAAGUUUUUAUUCCGUGUAACACCUCAAACACCGUUGAUUCUUCUACCAUACUAAGCUGAAAACACUAAAAUGAAGACAUUUAAUGGAUUUGCUCUUUUGCUGGUUGGCAUGUUAUCAGCUUGCUGCAUUUCGGAAGGUGCUUCAAUCAAAGAAACUAAUGCAUUUAGUUGGCAAUGCAACAGCACAGUCAUACACGCCCUUCAUCUGGGAGAGGAGUACUUCAUCGAGCGUGUUCUCUUCCCUUCUCUCGGAGUAACUGGUGCCAUUAUUAGAAUUGGAUCUCUUGCAGCAAAAGUUAUCGAUCAUGUUUACGUCAACAUUUUUGAAAGGCUCUCCGUGGAACUUUUAAAGCAACUGAUCUUGUCGUUGUUUAAAAAGGUGGCAGAAGAAAUUCCAAUCGUGCACGCACUUUUAAACGCACUGAAUUUCUUUAAUAAUGAAAUUGCUUCUUCGGUGUGUAGAACCUCUGGGUUUAUGGUCGAUCGAAUCGCCGAAAAGCGUGAUUUUGAAUCAUUAUAUUUCAAAAAUUAUUUCAGUAGAUUGACAUGGAUGGAGAAAGUGUUGUACUGGUUUAAAUAUUUGGUCACAUUAGUAGAGAAGGAUUGGGAAAGAUUUUAUAGUGAGUUAAAGGGGGACAUUGAGGGAUUUUUUAAUUAGUUACAAUGUUAAUUUUUUUUAUCAGAGAAUGAAAUUGUUUUCGCGGGUUGCUUUCAAGACUGAGUAGAAUUCUACCCCCCCCCCCCCUCCUCCCCUCCCCGGUUUUGAAUUUCAACAAAUAUACACGAUAAGCCAAUAUUGAACCCAUAAGUAAAUAAAACGCCAAAAGGGAGUUAGCAUUUUUACUUAUUAUUUUAGUUAUAAAAGAUAAAGUGAAUAUCUUUCAUGUACGGAUUAAAUACAUAUCAAUUGAAUUUAUACGUACAUUUAUAUUCAAGUUCUUUAUGUAAGCAUAUAUUUAUAUUUGUUUAUAGUUGGUGUUUGUUGUUUAAUGCAUACACAUUCUCUCUGUAGUCUUUCGAUCACGAGUUUUGAUUCCAUGGCUAAAAAAUUAUUCCAGAUGUCACGAUUUUUUUCUGAGCGCUAAUGAAAUGCAUCCGAAUUCUUGAUGCUAUGGGUUUACAUCGUAUGUUUUUCAAUGUUUAAAUAAGUCUUUUUCAUUCUUUUUGUUUGAUUUCAAAAUAUGUUGUGGUUGUCUUACAUGUACAAACCAUUUUUUGCUUUAACUGUAUCAAGAUAACCGGUGAUGAUCGUAAACUUUAAUGGGUGUUUGAUCCAGUCGGAUAUAGCAAGAAACGUGGCUAUAAAUAAUUAAAUAUUUCUUUGAAUAUAUAUGUUUUUUUAACAAUCAUUAAAAUACGUGAAUGCUCUUUGGCAAACUUCAUGGAUUUUUUUUUCUUUUUCGCGUGCACGCAACAUUAUUCUCUAUAACUCUAUGUGUAUUGUCAUUUUUCUCUAUAACGGAGUGUUUUGUUUUAAUUUCAUUUUAUUGUGGUCUUUUUCAUCAUUUCAUGUUUGUCUACAUUUUCACAAAUUAUUCUGAACAUGUUUAUAUACCCAUCGCCAUUGCAAUUUAUUAACAAUUCAAAGAUUAAAGCUGUCUAUACUAUAUCGAAUUGUGAAGAUAGUGUAUGCUUAUAAAUAUGCAAUAAAUUGUAUGAAAACUUCA